rnacentral:lncRNA from 12 species
CCGAGCGCGCUCCGCUGCGGAGCAGGGCGCCGGGCGCCGGGCUGGAGCCGGGCGGGCGGCCGCGGAGGCAGGACGGGAGGGUCCCGGCGCGAACGGGGGGAGGGUCUCGGGGGGGUCGAGCGGGACAGGGGCCGCUCGCUGGCCGCCCGGGAGCAGCGCCCGAUUCCCCGCCGGCGGCGGCCGCUCCGAGACAGCAUCUGUCACCGCUCUUCCUCAGCCCUUCUUGGGCCGGGCCGGGCUCCGCCGGAGGCGGCUGGGAAGACGCGGGACCCAGCGUGGCGAGCCCAUCAGCUGUCAGGCGAGCGGCGAAGCGACCCGAGGCGGCGGGAGGCACACAAAGAGCGCGGUGAGCGGCGGCGGCGGCGAAAGGGGGCGGCAGAUUCGGGACGGCAACUCCCGGCCGCGCCCGCCCGCCCGCCCGCGCCGCCGCCGCCGCCGCCGCCGCCGCCGGGGCUGGGUCCGCGGCCGCCGAGACAAUGCGGCCGGGCUCCGGCGCCGCGCGCCUCGGAGCACGGGAGCCUUCGAGCCCCCGGCCCCCGUUUGACCGUCCCUCGGCUCGCCCAGCCCCCUCUCGGGAGGCUUGGCCCCCGCCCGGGAAGGGGCGCCCCCUCGCUCCCGCAGCCGGGAAGGAAGUCGGUCCGCGGCCGCCGAGCCCGGCAACUUGCGAGCCGGGAAAAGUUUGCGGCGCCUCCGCGGGGCGGCGCGGCGCGGCGCGGCCCGGCCCGCCCCGCCCCGCCCCUGGCGUCCGCGGUCACCGCCGGUGACUUUCUGGACUCGUCGUCAGCCUGGGCCGCGGCGCGGCGGGCGGCGACUGCGGGGAGGGCCCGAGUCCGUCCGGAGGCGCCCGCGCCCGGGGCUGCGGGUGAGUUGGCUUGUGGGGCGCGCCGCUUCCAAGCUGUCCGGGGCCCCUGGGUCUGGGGGGACGGCAGGGAGACUCAGCGCCUUUGGUACUUUUUGGAGCGCGCGGGGAGAACAGAUGCAAGUGCGAUUGCUUCCGAGUAG